rnacentral:tRNA from 1 species
GGAAUUGUGGCUCAGUGGUAGAGCACUUGCAUUGUAUGUAUGAGGCAUUGUGUUCAAUUCUCAGCACCA